CCCUUAGAUGUUCUGGGCCGCACGCGCGCUACACUGUCGGAUUCAGCGAGUCUUAACCUUAACCGAAAGGUUUGGGUAAUCUUUUGAAAGUCCGACGUGAUGGGGAUUGAUCAUUGCAAUUAUUGAUCAUGAACGAGGAAUUCCUAGUAAGCGCGAGUCAUCAGCUCGCGUUGAUUACGUCCCUGCCCUUUGUACACACCGCCCGUCGCUACUACCGAUUGAAUGGUUUAGUGAGAUCUCCGGAUUGGCACCAUCGCGGCUUCGCGGCUGUGACGGAAUGCCGAAAAGUUGAUCAAACUUGAUCAUUUAGAGGAAGUAAAAGUCGUAACA
rnacentral:rRNA from 1 species